rnacentral:lncRNA from 1 species
AUUGUCUGACCAAGUAAGUAACCCUCCAGACAAAUAAACCAGAGUUGUCCUUCCUCCUGCCUUACCCCCACCUACAGCUUCACCUGCCCGAGCUAACCAACCUUGUCAGCAUUAUGGUCGCUUGCAUGGUGACCUACCAUGUCGACAUAUCUAUAAUGCCUGUUAUUAAUGCGGAAGCACCAAACACCUCAUAAAAGACUGCCCCCAAUGACCAAAGGAUGUAGCCCGAUCUGUAGCACAAGGUCGAGUGUACCCCACCUAAAUGAAUCUGGUGUCUUUCCUGCUCCUGUCCUCAUCUAGGGUAUGUUUUCUAUUCAUAGUACUUCUGUCAAGGUUUUGAUCGAUAUAGGUGCAACUAACUCUUUUAUUUUCUAUGCAUUUGCUUGUAAUAUAGAGUUUAGACUAG